rnacentral:tRNA from 1 species
GUACCUAUAGCUCAAUUGGAUAGAGCGUUUGACUACGGAUCAAAAGGUUGCGGGUUCGACUCCUACUAGGUACG